rnacentral:snoRNA from 1 species
GGGGUCAAUGGAUGAUCAACAAGACCCAUGGUCUGGAUUAGUGCCUUCCAUUGCACUUGGGAGGAGCAUAAAAAAUGCUAGACCUACGUAGCACAUUAACUUAAACUACGUUAUUGACUUUUAUCCUGCCAAUUCAAUUAAUCCAAAUCAACUCAUUUGUAACAUUAUGUAGUCUGUUUACGUAGGCGUAGCAAAGCUCGAGAAGCAUUGGUUCACCAUCUCCUCUAGUAGGGGAAUGGACGUCAUAAUUUUUGAUACGAGGGAUACGCGUUUGCGCGGCCCCUAC